rnacentral:rRNA from 1 species
AAGAAAGUAAAUAAGGGCGCAUGGCGGAUGCCUUGGCUCUCGGAGGCGAUGAAGGACGUGAUAAGCUGCGAUAAGCUUCGGGUAGGUGCAAAUAACCUUUGAUCCGAAGAUUUCCGA